rnacentral:rRNA from 1 species
GGGGACGAAGGUGCGUAACUGCUGCGAUCAGACGGAAUUGGUCGUUGAAGGAGGGUAGGUUAUGAGAUGGGUAGAGAAGUUCGCCCGUUGAGCCGAGCUCUGAUAGUACCUAAUGUUUAGGCAGAAGGGAUAAUGCAGCCAAGCGAACUUCCAAGAAAAGCCACUAAGCUUCAGCUAUACGGAGCCCGUACCGGAAACCGACACAGGUGUCCGAGGAGAAUAUCCUAAGGUGCUCGAGUGAUUCACGGCUAAGGAACUCGGCAAAUUGAUCUCGUAACUUCGGGAGAAGAGAUACCUACCCAGAGAUGGGAGGUCGCAGAGAAUAGGUCCAGGCAACUGUUUAACAAAAACACAGGGCACUGCUAAAUCGUGAGAUUAGGUAUAGUGCCUGACACCUGCCCGGUGCUGGAAGGUUAAGGGAGGGGGUCAGCCGCAAGGUGAAGCUCUUGACUGAAGCCCCAGUAAACGGCGGCCGUAACUAUAACGGUCCUAAGGUAGCGAAAUUCCUUGUCGGGUAAGUUCCGACCUGCACGAAUGGUG